rnacentral:rRNA from 1 species
AGUGGAUGGGGAGCAACCUAGUUGUGCGUGUGUAAAGGUAGUGCCAAGAAAAGCGAUGAUCAUGUUGAAAAUCAAUUCCCGGUACCCGAAACCGACACAGGUGGGCGAGUAGAGAAUACUAAGGGGCGCGAGGUAACUCUCUCCAAGGAACUCGGCAAAAUGACCCCGUAACUUAGGGAGAAGGGGUGCCACCGAGAGGUGGUCGCAGUGAAGAGGCCCAGGCGACUGUUUAGCAAAAACAUAGGUCUCUGCAAACUCGAAAGAGGAGGUAUAGGGGCUGACGCCUGCCCAGUGCCGGAAGGUUAAAGAAGUUGGUCAGUUUAGGAUGAAGCUAGCGACUGAAGCCCCGGUGAACGGCGGCCGUAACUAUAACGGUCCUAAGGUAGCGAAAUUCCUUGUCGGGUAAGUUCCGACCCGCACGAAAGGCGUAACGAUCUGGGCGCUGUCUCGGAGAGAGGCUCGGCGAAAUAGGAUUGUCUGUGAAGAUACGGACUACCUGCAUUUGGACAGAAAGACCCUAUGAAGCUUUACUAUAGCUUGGAAUUGUGUUCGGGCUUCCUGUGCGCAGGAUAGGUGGGAGGCGUAGAAGGUAUUCUUGUGGGGAUACUGGAGCCAACGGUGAGAUACCACUCUCAGGAGGCUAGAAUUCUAACUUAAUUAAGGACAGUUUCAGGUGGGUAGUUUGACUGGGGCGGUCGCCUCCAAAAAGGUAACGGGGGCGUACAAAGGUUCCCUCAGACUGGUUGGAAAUCAGUCGAAGAGUGCAAAGGCAGAAGGGAGCUUGACUGCGAGAAGUACAGUUCGAGCAGGGUGGAAACACGGUCUUAGUGAUCCGACGGUGCUGUGUGGAAGGGCCGUCGCUCAACGGAUAAAAGUUACUCUAGGAUAACAGGCUGAUCUCCCCCAAGAGUUCACAUCGACGGGGAGGUUUGGCACCUCGAUGUCGGCUCAUCGCAACCUGGGGCGGAAGUACGUCCCAAGGGUUGGGCUGUUCGCCCAUUAAAGCGGUACGUGAGCUGGGUUCAGAACGUCGUGAGACAGUUCGGUCCAUAUCCGAUGCAGGCGUGAGAAUAUUGAGAGGAGCCUUCCUUAGUACGAGAGGACCGGGAAGGACGCACCGCUGGUGUACCUGUUAUGAUGCCAAUUGUAAACGCAGGGUAGCCAAGUGCGGAGAGGAUAACCGCUGAAAGCAUCUAAGUGGGAAGCCCACCUCAAGAUGAGUAUUCUGGUGUAAGGUCACGGGAAGACGACCCGUAAAUAGGCACGAGGUGGAAGUGCAGAGAUGUAUGAAGCCGAAGUGUACUAAUAGACCGUCGGCUUGACC